AUGGUCAAGCUACAAAGAGCGCAAGGGGAAUGCCUUGGCACCAGGAGCCGAAGAAGGACGCGACUAACUGCGAUAAGCUGCGGGGAGCCGUAAGUGGGCGUUAUAUCCGCAGAUUUCCGAAUGGAGCAAUCCGGCUGGAGUCAUGUCCAGCCAUCAUACAGUGAAUACAUAGCUGUAUGAGGGGAACCGCCUGAACUGAAACAUCUAAGUAGGGCGAGGAAGAGAAAUCAACCGAGAUUCCGCUAGUAGUGGCGAGCGAACGCGGAAGAGGCCAAACCUAUGGUAGUAAUACCGUAGGGGUUUGGACAGCGUAAAGUAUUCUGAUUAGCUUAGCAGAAUGGCAUGGGAAGGCCAACGAAACAGUGUGAGAGUCACGUAUGCGAAAGGCAAAAGGAACUGGCUGUAUCCAGAGUACCGCCGGGCACGUGAAACCCGGUGGGAACAUGGGGGGACCACCCUCCAAGCCUAAAUACUACCUGGUGACCGAUAGUGUACAGUACUGUGAAGGAAAGGUGAAAAGAACCCCGGGAGGGGAGUGAAAAAGAACCUGAAACCUUGUGCUUACAAGCACCGAGAGCCCGUCAAUGGGUGAUCGGGUACCUUUUGUAGAAUGGUCCGGCGAGUGAAUGUAACUGGCGAGGUUAAGGGCUUCAGGCCUGGAGCCGCAGCGAGAGCGAGUCUGAACAGGGCGUAUGAAGUCAGUUGUAUUCGACCCGAAACCGGGUGACCUACCCAUGUCCAGGUUGAAGUGGAGGUAAAACUCCAUGGAGGACCGAACCGACUCCCGUUGAAAUGGUAGCGGAUGAGGUGUGGGUAGCGGAGAAAUUCCAAUCGAACCCGGAGAUAGCUGGUUCUCUCCGAAAUAGUUUUAGGACUAGCCUUGUAUUAGAUUACCGGAGGUAAAGCACUGAAUAGCCUAGGGCCCGAGAGGGUACCGAAGCUUAUCAAACUCUGAAUGCCGGCUAAUUGAUGUACAGGAGUCAGACAGUGUGAGAUAAGUUUCAUUGUCAAAAGGGAAACAGCCCAGACCCACAGCUAAGGUCCCAAAGUAUGUUUAAGUGGAAAAGGAUGUGGGGUUGCACAGACAACCAGGAUGUUGGCUUAGAAGCAGCCACUCAUUAAAAGAGUGCGUAAUAGCUCACUGGUCGAGUGACCCUGCGCCGAAAAUUUAACGGGGCUAAAACAUACACCGAAGCUUGGGAUUCGCAGCAAUGCGAGUGGUAGGAGAGCGUCGUGUAAGGGGUGAAGUCGUAGCGUAAGCGGCGGUGGACUUUACACGAGUGAGAAUGCCGGAAUGAGUAGCGAGAAAUAUGUGAGAAUCAUAUUGGCCGAAAGUCUAAGGUUUUUGGAGGAAGGUUCGUCCGCUCCAAGUUAGCCGGGAGCUAAGGUGAGGCCGAAAGGCGUAGCCGAUGCACAUACGGUGGAAAUUCCGUAGCCGCCAAAAGAUUUAAGCAGGAGGACACCUUGAAAGGGCAUGACCCGGGUGCUGGUUACCCCGGGCGCAAGGGAUCGAAAUUAGAGUAGAGAAGCAUGCUUGGACGAGGGCGAGAAAAGUCUUGUGUAUAUCUUCGGCGCCCGUACCGCAAACCGACACAGGUAGACAGGAAGAGGAUUCUAAGGCCAACGGGAGAAGGGUAGUUAAGGAACUCGGCAAAUUGAUCCCGUAACUUCGGAAGAAGGGAUGCCACAGCAAUGUGGCCGCAGAGAAUAGGCCCAGGCGACUGUUUAUCAAAAACACAGGUCUCUGCUAAAUCGAAAGAUGAAGUAUAGGGGCUGACACCUGCCCGGUGCUGGAAGGUUAAGAGGAGAUGUGCAAGCAUUGAAUUGAAGCCCCAGUAAACGGCGGCCGUAACUAUAACGGUCCUAAGGUAGCGAAAUUCCUUGUCGGGUAAGUUCCGACCCGCACGAAUGGUGUAACGAUCUGGGCACUGUCUCAAUUACCCGCCCGGCGAAAUUGUAGUACCGGUGAAGAUGCCGGUUACCCGCGACAAGACGGAAAGACCCCAUGGAGCUUUACUGCAGCUUAAUAUUGGGUUUCGAUAAUUUAUGUACAGGAUAGGUGGGAGGCUAUGAACUGCGGGCGCCAGCUUGCAGGGAGCCAACCUUGGGAUACCACCCUUAGGUUGUUGGAAUUCUAACCUGCGGCCAUGAAUCUGGCCGGGGGACAUUGUUAGGCGGGCAGUUUGACUGGGGCGGUCGCCUCCAAAAAGGUAACGGAGGCGCUCAAAGGUCAGCUCAGCACGGAUGGAAACCGUGCCUUUGAGUGUAAACGCAUAAGCUGGCCUAACUGCGAGGAUGACGGUCCGAGCAGUAACGAAAGUUGGAGUUAGUGAUCCGGCGGUAGAGAGUGGAAUUGCCGUCGCUCAACGGAUAAAAGCUACCCUGGGGAUAACAGGCUGAUCUCCCCCAAGAGUUCACAUCGACGGGGAGGUUUGGCACCUCGAUGUCGGCUCAUCACAUCCUGGGGCUGUAUUCGGUCCCAAGGGUUCGGCUGUUCGCCGAUUAAAGUGGUACGCGAGCUGGGUUCAGAACGUCGUGAGACAGUUCGGUCCCUAUCUGUCGUGGGCGCAGGAUAUUUGAGGAGAGCUGUCCUUAGUACGAGAGGACCGGGAUGGACACACCUCUGGCGCACCAGUUGUUCCGCCAGGAGCACGGCUGGGCAGCUAUGUGUGGAACGGAUAAACGCUGAAAGCAUCUAAGCGUGAAGCCGCCUCCAAGAUUAGAUAUCCCAUAGCGCAAGCUAGUAAGGCCCCUUGUUGACUACAAGGUUGAUAGGCUGCGUGUGUAAGCAUGGCAACAUGUUCAGCUUGGCAGUACUAAUAGGCCGAGGGCUUGACCAUA
rnacentral:rRNA from 1 species